rnacentral:rRNA from 1 species
CUACGGGAGGCUGCAGUGAGGAAUUUUGCGCAAUGGGGGAAACCCUGACGCAGCAACGCCGCGUGAGCGAAGAAGGCCCUUGGGUCGUAAAGCUCUGUCAAGUGGGAAAAAAGCCUUUUGAUUAAUACCCAAAAGGUUUGAUGGUACCACUGGAGGAAGCACCGGCUAACUCCGUGCCAGCAGCCGCGGUAAUACGGAGGGUGCAAGCGUGUGGUCGGAAUUACUGGGCGUAAAGGGCGUGCAGGCGGUUUGGCAAGUCAGAUGUGAAAGCCCCGGGCUUAACCCGGGAAGUGCAUUUGAAACUGCCUCUCUUGCGUAUGGGAGAGGAGAGUGGAAUGCCCAGUGUAGAGGUGAAAUUCGUAGAUAUUAGGAGGAACACCAGUGGCGAAGGCGACUUUCUGGACUGUAACUGACGCUGAGGCACGAAAGCGUGGGGAGCGAACAGGAUUAGAUACCCGUGUAGUC